rnacentral:sRNA from 15 species
GUGCAGUGUUGCAACACGUAGUCAAUUGAGGAAUAGAUAAAGAGAAAAGCUACAGGGAAGACUAGAAGCAUCGGCCGGCAUAGCAAAACACAAUGCUUGUAAAGACAUUGCGUUGCAUACCGGCCGACCCCGUCGUCCCCCCUGGUCGUCGAGAUUGGCGUCAUCCAGAGUCGUCAGAGGUAGCUGCAAUUAGCACCUCGUCGUCGUUGUGGCUUUGGCUGCCCUCUUGGAGAACCAGUGGCACUGGUCCGGCCACCAGUUGGGAGCCAGGAGUAGUCGGCACACAUAUCACUGUGGCGACACGGGUCCGGCCGCCAAAGUGAAGUGGAUGUGAGUGUGUGUGUGCGUCGGCAAUUGUGGCCCUAAUGUAGAGCAAGUGGCACUGUUCCGGCCACCAGCUAUGGGCAAUGGUGGACAAUGACACACAUACUCGAUCGGCACAGGUCCGGCCGCCCAAGUGUAAUGGAUGUGUGUGUGUGUGUGUGUCUGAGUGGCUGGCGGUCCAUAGGGCACUCUGAAUGCCAUGGCACUGGAUCCGGCCACCAACUAAGGACGAUGGCGGACACGACACACAUCUACACGAACGGCACAGGUCCGGCCGCCCAAGUGUAAUGGAUGUUUGUUGGCAGAGAUGUGUCCAAUUAGUACACAGCGUUCCAGGAUAUCUGGUUGUCAAGAAGGUACCUCAUGUUGCGGGCGUAGGCCUUAAUGCCAUCCAUGGAGUCGUCAUCUGUCCACAUCUCAUCGUCAUCAUUUUCUUCAUCCGUUUCAGGAUCCGUCUCUGGAGUGGCGGCUGGCGU